rnacentral:lncRNA from 15 species
AUGGCUCUUCUCUACACACGCGCGCGCGCACACACACACACACACACACACACACACACUCACACACACACUCACACACACACACACACACUCACACACACACACACACACACACACACACACACACACACACACAAACAAACAACCAGGGUUUUACAGCAAGGGCCAGUAAACCAGGCCCCUCACUCCGGGAAACUUCAACGUCAAAGCUGCCCAGAGACCGGCGGACAGAACCGGGGAAGCAGCGCAAAUCUCCGUCCAUCCCGGAGUUUGAUCAUCGCCUUGCGUCGUGCGUCAUCCCGCCUGCAGCUCCCAAACACGCAACCAAAGGACCCCCGCCCCCUUCCUUCUUCUGAAACAUCUUCCUCCUCCUUUUCUUCCCCACGUCACUCAGGAACCGAACCUGCAGCUCAGGUCCAGGCUGCCGCCUGCAACCGGACACGUUCCCGGUUUCACCGUGGAGUCACCGCGACAUCAUGACCUCGGUUCUCUCCCAGGGUGGCUCAGUUUGAGGACUGGAGUCUGCUCAUCGUCACAGCUGCAACGACCCUCCUCCGUGCACGAGGGCGGCUUUGCACUCCACCACAACCGGAUCUGAUGUUGGCGGAGAUGAUCGCCGAGGGAGUCCCAUCUCACAACCACCUUCUCCUCGCGCCUCCAGAAGACCUCAUAACACCUGGAGCUUCACCCUGGUGGGUGACAGCGACCCGAUGGCAGCCGGUUUAUUACCGAAGAGAAGGCAGGAGAAGGAGGAGUGCGGCUGAUCCUCAGAGUAAGGAGGGAUGUCAUUCGGUUCCGAUCCAAAACAGUCGCAGGGACAGCCGCAGCGGAGGAGGACGGCCUGGUCGGGGGACAGCGGACAGAACCGGGACAAGGUAGGAAAGAGAGAAUGAGAAGGAGGAGAUGGAGGGAGGAUGACAGGAUGUGCAGAGAAGGAAAAAAAAAUGAAAGGCAGGAAAGAUUAAAAGAAGAAUGAGGGAGGGAAUGAAGGAUGUUGAGCGGAGGCAAUAAAGGGAGUGAGGAAAGGAUGAAGGAUAUAAAGCAGGAAAGAAGCGGGGGAUGAGUGUUAAAAGAGAGAGCAGGGAUAGAAAAAGAAAGGAUUGAAGAAAACAAAAGGGGAGGAGACUCAAAAACAACAGAUGGAGGUGGACUCGGUGUAGCCAAGCAGAAACAGGAAAGAAGAAGAAGAAGAGGAGGCAGUAAAGUCAGAGAGCUCGGCCAUGGCUUCAGCAGCCGGAGGGGGGAGGCUGUUUGGUCUGGAGGCGAGACAAGAAGGUGACUCCUCUGUCUGUCUCUCUUUCCUGUCUGCCUCACAUCGUCCUUCUGGCUUCUCUUUAUUUGGUUUUAUGGUGGGCUCUUAAAGACAAAGCGAGUCCCUUCCCUCCCUGAAUUGAAUUUAUUGCUCCACCGGGGUUGAGUUGCCCUCCUCCUGUGUCCAGCAGCCGGACAGGACCGGAAGAGCCGAGCUGGGCCUGCAGCGGUGACAGACACGCUUUAGUGUCCUGACAAAACGCAGCGGUGUUUGUCCUUGUUGUUGGCACGCAGAGCAGACUGAAGGGUGAUAUUCAGUGCUAACAUGGUGCUCAUACAGACGCCCAGUGAAGAAUGGAAUUCAUUCGUGAAUUAGCAAUGAAACUAAAAUAACAGCAGGCUCAUAAUGCAUUUCAUCAUGUGGAUGUGGACAAAAUAAAUCAUUAAAAUGCAAUCACUUCCGGAUGCCUCUUUGUCCAAAACACAGCAGCAACCACACACACACCAUCUACAAAAUCUCUAUCAUUAUUUUUUUUCCUUUUGGUUUAAAACUCUCCGUCAAUCUCUGCAGAGAAUAUACAUAAAGAUGGAUUUUAUUCUUCUCUAUAACAGUUCUCUAUCUGAACAGCCGAAUAUUUUUCAUCCUGUGUAUUAAAGGCUACAGGGCAGCAGUGUAUUUGUUUUGUCUGUUAUAUAUAUUAUAUAUGGGUUUCUUAAACAGAAACAGGUUUGCUUAACAGAAAAGAUAAGUACUUGUUAUAGUUUUAGUCUGUUUGAAUUUAGCCAUUUGUUUCCGUCUUUCUAUAGAAACUGAAUAUAUAUGGGUGUGUGUGUUUGAUGUUGAUAAAUAUGAACAUUCUGCAGUGAUGAGUUUUUUUCAGAAAAAUAAAAAAAAUGUUUUAAGUUAGUCAAGUUUAUUCAUAAAGCACAUUUAAACACAGCUUAAACUGACCAAGGGGCUGUACGAAAGAACAUUAAAAUAGACAAUAAAACAGCAAAAACCCAAAGAAAAAACAUACCAGUGAUAACAAUAAACGAUAAGAGACAAAAUACAGAAUUACUGAUAUGACAACCGACAAACCAGUUAAAAAAUAUAUAUAUGACUCAAUCCAUACUGUACGAUUUUAUCUGUCCAAUAAACUGGAAUAUAAGUAGACUCAUUGUGGAGUGAAAUAAAUGGUGUGCAUGGGAUCUUUUCUGCAGUAUUUAUGUAUUCUUUAAUAUAAGCUGAGGUCUGAGACACAAAGCAGAGAUGUGGAAAUCGUAUCUACUCAGUGGGAUGGGAGGAUGUCAUCGUAAAUUCUGAUUAUUAACCCAUAGGUUUCGGUCUAAAACGACCAAAGCGCAAAGGUAAAUUGAGCUUUAAUAUUAGCUGCACUGCCUGCUGCUCCUCUCAGCUGUGAGCCCGCUCGGCUCUGUAGGAGCAUUUCUCUGGAAGAGAAAAAGAGAGGGAGCUUUCCUGGAUGGCGACGAGUUGAUGUAUGGAACCGAGCAUCUGGAGGCACAUAAAGACAGAAAGAUACUGCAGAGACCAGAUAGGUGUGUGUGCACAUGUGACAUCCCGAACAAAGGCUGUGCGGUUGUUUUCUGACUGGAUGUGGAAAGUUUUAAGAUCAGCACAACUUAUUUAAACAGCUGCUGCUUCUCCGAGAGCCCGAAAUACAACAUCAUGUUGAAAAAUGCAGACAGGGGCCUAGUUCUCUUUCAUAUCCGCUCCCUCUUCAAACUGUCAGAAAUUAGACCGUUUAUUAAGGAGUUCAUUACUUUUUAGACUUUUUUUGUAUUCCACCGGUCUGAUUGGAAACAGUUGCUACGUCCUGCGACUACACGUAAUACUACUACUACAACUACUACUACUAAUAAUAAUUAUAAUAAUAAUAAUAAUUGUGAAAGUAACACAAUAAGUAGGAUAUUAACGUUGCUAUUAAAUAAUGAUAAUUAGCUUUAUAUUUGUAAUUAUAUAUAUUUGUGAUUAUAGCCUAAAUGCUUAUAAUCAAAAUAAUAAUAGCAAAUCAACAAAUACUAGGCUAUUUGUUGAUUUUGUUUCGUUUAACUUUGAAAAAAAAUAAGCGGAAUCCUGAAAACACAAAAGUGGUUACCAAUAUUAUAUUUAUAUUAUUUUUUACUUUACCAUUUUAUUUUUCACAUUGACUCGUUUCGGCUGUAUUAUUCCAAGAGUCUGUGUGCUGUGUGUAUUUGUGCUUUCUCCACGUCCAACGAAUGAACGAAAUGUCGUAAAUGUUCCGUAGUAUUAAAAAUGUCCAGUCACAGUAGUAAAUUGGAGUAUACAAUACCUUACACAAUACGUUAAUAAUUUAGGCUGCAUUACUGCCACUUAUUAUUAUAUUAUAUAAUAAUACUACUACUGAUGAUAUUACUACUAGGCCUACUACUACUACUAAUAACAAUAAUCAAAUAAUACAUAAUUGUUAUUAUUGUUAUUGUUAUUAUUAUUAUUAUUAUUAUUAUUAUUAUUAAUAGUAGUAGUAGUAGGUUAUUUGAUCUUAUUAUGUAUUUACUUUCUUACCGUGUGUGUGUGUGUGUGUGUGUGUGUGUGUGUGUGUGUGUGUGUGUGUGUGUGUGUGUGUGUGUAUCAAGCUGUGGAAACAGAAUAAAUAAUCAAUUAUCGAUCCAAUGCUAACGCAGCUAACUGUCUUUAAUUGUAGAGACAAUAAUUAAUUUAAAUAGGCCUAUUGUCAUAUUUUAGGCCUACAGUUUUCAGUAUAUCGCUACAUUGUUUUUCUUCUUUUUAAAAUACGACCAUCAUUUUCAACAUUA